CCUGGCUCAGAUUGAACGCUGGCGGCAUGCCUUACACAUGCAAGUCGAACGGCAGCGCGGACUUCGGUCUGGCGGCGAGUGGCGAACGGGUGAGUAAUACAUCGGAACGUACCCUGUUGUGGGGGAUAACUAGUCGAAAGAUUAGCUAAUACCGCAUACGACCUGAGGGCGAAAGUGGGGGACCGCAAGGCCUCACGCAGCAGGAGCGGCCGAUGUCUGAUUAGCUAGUUGGUGGGGUAAAGGCCCACCAAGGCGACGAUCAGUAGCUGGUCUGAGAGGACGAUCAGCCACACUGGGACUGAGACACGGCCCAGACUCCUACGGGAGGCAGCAGUGGGGAAUUUUGGACAAUGGGGGCAACCCUGAUCCAGCAAUGCCGCGUGUGUGAAGAAGGCCUUCGGGUUGUAAAGCACUUUUGUCCGGAAAGAAAUCGCGCUGGUUAAUACCUGGCGUGGAUGACGGUACCGGAAGAAUAAGCACCGGCUAACUACGUGCCAGCAGCCGCGGUAAUACGUAGGGGUGCGAGCGUUAAUCGGAAUUACUGGGCGUAAAGCGUGCGCAGGCGGUUU
rnacentral:rRNA from 1 species